CAAUAGCGUAUAUUAAAGUUGUUGCAGUUAAAAAGCUCGUAGUUGGAUUUCUGAUCGAGACAUCAGGUCGGGUCCGAGAGGAUCAUGUACUUUGAUUUGUUUUGAUCAUCCUUGGGGAGAGCAUUUCUGGCAUUCAGUUGUCGGGAUUGGGAUCCUCAUCGUUUACUGUGAAAAAAUUAGAGUGUUCAAAGCAGGCCUCGGCCUCUGAAUACAUUAGCAUGGAAUAAUAAGAUAGGACUUUGGUGGUCUAUUUUGUUGGUUUGCACGCCAAAGUAAUGAUUAAUAGGGAUAGUUGGGGGUAUUCGUAUUCAAUUGUCAGAGGUGAAAUUCUUGGAUUUAUGGAAGACGAACUACUGCGAAAGCAUUUGCCAAGGAUGUUUUCAUUAA
rnacentral:rRNA from 1 species